GAUAUAGCACCCUUGUGCAUCAUGUGGUGUUUGUGCACAGAGAGAGGUUACAUUUCUUAAGGAUCCUUCCAAAUAACUGAUAAGCAAGGAGGGGAACAAUUAUAUGACAAUGAAGACUAGUGAACAAAGUGCCUAUAUCUUAAGGAUCAGGAUCAGGAUCAGUAUCAAAAUGUGAAUGGAAAGUGCUAAGCCAUCGAUGUAUCUGUUCAUUAAUAAUGGUCAAGGAAAGGAAGUAGGGAGCCUAUUCAAUUCUAAAUGAGGUCCUAAAUAUGCAUGUUUAUAGAAAAGAGAGUUGUCGACAAUUAUGCAUGUGUAUCCACGUAUAUACUAUCUGCCUACAGGCUACAAGUACAUGCACUUGCAUUUGUAUCCACCCACCACCGCCACUUCAUUAAUGCUUGGACCAUGGCUAAAAUGCUGGCAGGGGCCCAAGCUUAAGAUCUAGAACGUAGUUCUGUUAACAAUUACUUGUCACCAAAUGGAAAAUAACUAGGUCUUUUCCAAUCUACAGUUCUUAGGGCCCCGUUCAGUUGCCAGAAAAGUACAGGAAAGGAUGAGAAAACUAACUUUCCCAUAACUUUUAUAGUGUUCAGUUGCCAGGAAAAUUAUGGGACCCACACUUCUAAGUUUUCCUGCAUGAUUACUUUUCCACAAAACUGAUCCGGCCAUUUUGGCAAGAUUUUCUGUCGUGGGAAAAUGGAUCUAUAGCGCCAAAACACUUUUACUCACAAAAAAUGGCGCCAGAACAAGGACUUUUUGUUUUGGCGGCUUCUAGCUUCCCAUUAAUAUAGUUGCAGCAUCUUGGAAUUCAACCCUGCAAAACUCUCCAUCUCAAGUCAAUUUUUUUGGCUUUUAGCCUUUGUCCUUUUCAAGGUUAGUGUUUCUCUCUCUUUUCUUUGAUUUCUCUAGUUUAAUAUUGCUAAUAAGAACAUACUCCAUAUAUAUACAUAUAGUUCUCGUUUUGACUGAAGCUUUCAAGGAAAUCGAAGGGUUAAAUCAAGAUAGCAUUGCUGAAGCUUUUGAGAACCUUUUGCAUGAUGAAGUUAAACCGAAGGCAUUUAUGACGUAUUCCGUUCAGAUGCGAAUUAGGUUCUUAGAAAGGCACUUUGAUAUUUACGUGAGCAACUACUAUGGUGCUUUUUGAGAUAAUUGUUUUGUGGAAGAAGACUGGUAGUAUAUUUUUUUGGAAGUAUUUAAUUAUCUUGUCAUUAGUUUUCAGUUUUGUUUUGUACUAACUAAUAAUCAGUGGAUUUUUUUAUUGCCAACUAAUCAAGCACGGUUGUUUAACAUUUUUUACGACUGAUUAUCAAAGGAUGUCAAUUUGAAUAGGGGAUUUGCAUGACCAUUCAAAGGAUAGCCAAUUGAAUAGAGAAUUGCAAGUCAAUUUUUCCAUUUCAUGUUAAGGCUUUGCAUUAGAUAAAAUAAAUGUUCCGUAUGUGUUAGUUUUUGAAAUAUGGUAGCCAAUUAUUUAGCUCUCAAAGUUACUUUUAUUUAAAAAAUUAGCCAUGAGAAUAAAAAUAAAGAAAUUUCUCAUAAGUGUCUUUUUCCUGGCAAAUGAACAACUAAACUUUAGUUUUCCUGCAAAUUCUUUGGUCAAAUGAACACUCCCAGGAAAAUAGAUUUCUUAUUCUUUUACUUUACUUUACUUUACUUCACUUUUCUUGAGAACAACUUUCCUGCAUAACAUUCUUGGCAACUGAACGGAAUCUAGAGAUUUACCAUGUCAGAAACCUCAUUCCCGUGUCCACCUUGACACUUGUUAUGCACAGUAAAUAGGUAAUACCAUGCUGCUCAGUGGGGUGCGACAUUGCCAAAUCCACAUACGAAGCCUAAUGUUUCUUCACAAUUAUGACAUUCUUGCUAGGUGUAGCCAUCUACCAAACUCGGAUUUACGUUCAUAGUGUUCUGUCACAAACAACUAGGCCUGGAACUACUGUUAAUGUGAUAAAACAUCAGUAACCAAACAAUUCAGAUACUUCAGGAAUUUGCACAUAACAUAACAGUGAAAGAGAUGUCAGUGCAAUAGCAAGUACCUGGUGGGGUUACUUGAAGGAGCCCAAAGUACACAUAUCACCACUAAGAGGAAGAAUGCUAGAAGAGUCCAAAAAGCUGGAAUUACCCAGGAAAUUUGCCACAGCUCACUUAAUGGAUCACUUGCAUUGAAGUACAACUGAGCCAACAUGAGUCAGUAAUCAGCAUUCAUAAAAGAUGAGUCAGAUGACGGUGAAUAAACACCAGACCAGUUUUCUUCUACUGUGCAGAUCUAUGAAACUAUGAUUAUGCGACAUAUUAGUUUAACCAAAACACUACCUCGUAGCCUAUCCAAGCAAUAGAAAGCAGCACAAAUACAGCAAGGGAGUUCGUAAACUUCCGAUAUAGCUCAAGUUUGGCCAUGCUUCUCCGCAUCUGCAUGCAAAAGAGACAGGAAAGGGAGAGCCACAGAAGAAUCAGUGGCUGUAUCAUCCACAGAAAACAAAUUUUCUGGUACUCCAUUAACCACCUUGUCAUUAAGGCCCCAAAAAUUCAAGGAAUGUGACAAAAGAGUAAGAGUAUUUUCCC